rnacentral:rRNA from 1 species
CAUGAAAUGACUCUCGGCAACGGAUAUCUCGGCUCUUGCAUCGAUGAAGAACGUAGCGAAAUGCGAUACUUGGUGUGAAUUGCAGAAUCCCGUGAACCAUCGAGUCUUUGAACGCAAGUUGCGCCUGAAGCCAUUAGGUUGAGGGCACGCCUGCCUGGGUGUCACA